rnacentral:rRNA from 1 species
GACGAACGCUGGCGGCGCGCUUAACACAUGCAAGUCGAACGAAGAGCGACGGAAGCUUGCUUCUAUCAAUCUUAGUGGCGAACGGGUGAGUAACGCGUAAUCAACCUGCCCUUCAGAGGGGGACAACAGUUGGAAAUGACUGCUAAUACCGCAUACGAUCUAAUCUCGGCAUCGAGGAUGGAUGAAAGGUGGCCUCUACAUGUAAGCUAUCACUGAAGGAGGGGAUUGCGUCUGAUUAGCUAGUUGGAGGGGUAACGGCCCACCAAGGCGAUGAUCAGUAGCCGGUCUGAGAGGAUGAACGGCCACAUUGGGACUGAGACACGGCCCAGACUCCUACGGGAGGCAGCAGUGGGGAAUCUUCCGCAAUGGACGAAAGUCUGACGGAGCAACGCCGCGUGAGUGAUGACGGCCUUCGGGUUGUAAAGCUCUGUUAAUCGGGACGAAAGGCCUUCUUGCGAAUAGUGAGAAGGAUUGACGGUACCGGAAUAGAAAGCCACGGCUAACUACGUG